rnacentral:rRNA from 1 species
CAGGGGAGCGAAAGGGAUUAGAUACCCCUGUAGUCCUGGCCGUAAACGAUGAACACUAGAUGUUGGGGGAAUCGACCCCCUCGGUGUCGUAGCUAACGCGUUAAGUGUUCCGCCUGGGGAGUACGCACGCAAGUGUGAAACUCAAAGGAAUUGACGGGGGCCCGCACAAGCGGUGGAGUAUGUGGUUUAAUUCGAUGCAACGCGAAGAACCUUACCAAGGCUUGACAUCCUGCGAAUCUCCGAGAAAUUGGAGAGUGCCUUCGGGAACGCAGUGACAGGUGGUGCAUGGCUGUCGUCAGCUCGUGUCGUGAGAUGUUGGGUUAAGUCCCGCAACGAGCGCAACCCACGUUUUUAGUUGCCAGCAUUCAGUUGGGCACUCUAGAAAGACUGCCGGUGACAAACCGGAGGAAGGUGUGGACGACGUCAAGUCAUCAUGCCCCUUACGCCUUGGGCUACACACGUACUACAAUGCUGCGGACAAAGAGUAGCGAUCUUGCGAAAGUUAGCUAAUCUCGUAAACCGUGGCUCAGUUCAGAUCGUAGGCUGCAACUCGCCUACGUGAAGGAGGAAUCGCUAGUAAUCGCAGGUCAGCAUACUGCGGUGAAUACGUUCCCGGGCCUUGUACACACCGCCC